GGAGGUGUGGCCGAGCGGUUUAAGGCACUAGUCUUGAAAACUAGCGAGGAUGAGAGUCCUCCGUGAGUUCGAAUCUCACCGCCUCCGCCA
rnacentral:tRNA from 1 species